ACAUGUUUACUCCGGUGCUACCUUUGAAAGGAGUGGUGCCGGCACCCCCGUGUACUGACUGGGGUUGGUUGAGAGGCCUCACACCGCAGGGUGGGAGGGAACAGGCCUGAGCUCUGGUGAGCAGCACAUGCUGAGGCUGCAUUGAAGUUCACCGUGUGUCUUGGCCAUCUUGCUGAGUUUAGCUAAUAGGGUAUUUAUUUCACGGAGAGCUGUGUUGCACCAGAGGUUUUGCAUGCUUAUGGAGAAACCUGUCCCUGUUUAAGCCUUAUAUUUCAGUGACUUUUAACUUGGACAGAUGUUCAUGCAUGAUUUAGUCUAUUGUUCUGACUGUUAAGUUUGCUGAAGAAUGCACAGUUGGCUUCACUGCCUCAUGAUUUGCAAACAUGGCUGCACUUGGCACAUGGUAGCAGAGCACCUGAGCCUGCCCUGGCGUGGGGCUGCAGCGUCUGUGGGUUUUCCCCUCUAAUUGCUUUUUUCAGAAAUAGGCUCUGUUAGCUGCAGGUCUCAGCACUGAGCGUGCAGAGACAAUCUGUUCUGUACACGUGGUGCUUUCUGUGCUGGCAUCAGUGUGGUGUGGAGGGAGGAAACGCUUGUGAUUCACAUACCAGAGGGCUGAAGAACAGAAAGAAAGGAAAAGAUGCUUGGCUGGGAGACAGAAGAACAGGCCACUGGGAGGAGAGAAAGAAAAGAAUCUGCUACGUCUUUGAAGAGAGAUUUCCUGUGCCCUUCCUCAGAUGUCUGUGAUACUACCAAGAGGAACUGUCUUUCUGUAAGUGGAACUCUUCUUUGAAUAGCACAUUCAUAAUAUGAAUUAAUUGAAAACACUCAUAGUAGUGUGUGUGUUUGUAGAGAAGUCUGAACAGAAUUUAGUAUGCAAAAUAAUUUGUCUUAUAUUCUGAUGGUCUUAACCUCAAAUUUUGUAUGAUUUUUCAUGGCUCAUAAUUGAGAAUAAUGAUGCUCAGGGGAAACUCCUUUUAUUUUUUUUUGCUUUGGACGUUUGAAAUGCAUAGUAAACUUCUAUUCUUAGCUUAGACAGUGAUAAUAAAAGCAGUACGUGUCUCUGUCAACAUUAGUGAAAAAUAAGUCUCUGGGGAUUUCUGAAUGUUUUAUUUAAUGAUGAGAACAGUAAAUCUGUCCUGUGUGGUGUCUGAGUGAGCUGACUUAUAUCAAAACAUCAUUAUUUCAUUUUUAUACGUUACAGCAGUGUUUUCUGAAUAAGUACUGGAAUGAAAGCCAAAAGCUCCCCUCUAGAUUGCAAGAAUCGUAUUGUAGGGAUUCUUAAGGGAUUGAUUUAUAUUUUUUGGUUUAGCAAUUUUGAAGAGGAGGAAGAGGGAGAGCCUUGAUCUGCUUGCUUAGCUUGGUUUGGCAGUUUAAUCAUGGUAGUGCAGCCAUCAACCUGUGCACUUAUCUGGGUGAUUGAAGAUGAGCACCCCGUGAGAUCUUGAUUUGCAUCUAUACCCUUAAUUACUAUCAGAUUGCAGAAGUAAGGACUUACUAGAAUUACUGAAGAGUAGUGCAUUUGUUUCUUCAGAAAUACGGAUUUUUAUGCUCCGGACUCUUAAUUUUAACUUAGUUGAGCCAUGAGGCUUUUUUAUAUACGUGUUGUAUUUGGCAUUUUUUCUUCAAACUUGGAAAGUGUACACACAUCCCUGAAGUCUUUUGGAUAAUAAUGAACUUUGUUGGAAGUCUCUGAAUGUGAAUUACAGCGGGUAGCUUUACGUUACAGCUAAACAGUACUGUGGAAGAUGGGUGUCUUGCUCCUGCUCCUUCCCUCCUUUGCUCUGGCACUUACCUGAGCCUAAGCUGAUGUGUCACAUCAGCAAAAAGAGGCUGUUUCGGUUUUUGUUAGGAGGUAGUUUUCUACUGUUUUGGAAGCUGAAUGUAUUUGUAAUGCAAGGAAAUAAGCGUGGGCCUGGAAAAUUGAAGAAUGGAGCAGGGGCAGGGAGAAGAAUUAAUUUCCUUUCUUUUGAGCCUUUAAAUUUCUCCUUCUGGAAGCCAGAGAAAUGCAUCUGCUGGAUGCAGCAGGAGAUGAGAAGGGCCAACAUUUGGAAGCAGAGUGUUGGUUUAGGCAUAGCAUGAAGAACAGCUACUCUGGGAGUUGCAAGGAUUGGGAUGGAAAAGGCAGAGAGGUAUGGAAGGCUGCUUGGCUCAUGAAGUCUGAGAGGGGGACUGCAUGGCCCAGGUGACAGCUGCUUGGAGCAAGCCAGAAACGGCCCCACAGUUCCCCAUCCCCUGCAUGAGGGAAGCAGCAGGAAGGCAGUUUCAAGGGAGGGAGGCUUAGGAACUGCUGGUGAUCAGUCAGUUUGCGGAGUAUUCGAACUGGGAAAACAAAUGGGCUGCCUGUACUAACUGUUCUCUCCUGAGAGGGAACAGUGCUGUGGUUAUAAAUGCAAGCGUAGGGAUCUAGUAGUCACAGCAGUGGUACCAAAAAGUAACAGUUGUGAAUGCUAUUACUUUUUACAGAAGUCAGAUUUUAAAAUUAUCAGCGGUUUUUGGUAUACAGAAUUAGUGGCAAGUAUGGAUGGAUUAGUAUGUGAGCCUUUUAAUGCUAAAAACAGAAACUAAUGAGAUUACUGGAUCCUAUGCACAAACCAUUGACUUUUCUCUCCCCUCCAGGAAGGAAAAAAAAAAAAAAAGGAAAACAACCCCCCCCUCCACUAUCUCUUAUUUGUCAUUAGGGACAAAAAAAAAAAGUCAAAGCCUUACUUAUUGGUCUGAUUGCUGAUACUUAAAGUAAUUUUGUAAAUUGGGACAUCUAAGUGAUGUUUUAGGUGUAAAACUAUAAGAAGAAAUUUGUGAAAAGGAACUUGACCUAUAAGAGCCUUCAGCCUUUUGUUUGAUGUAAGUGAAUCGAGCAAAAAAUUGGAGAGCUUGCUUUUUCUCGUACCUGCUUUACGUAAGUGUUCUUUACUGACACCAAAACUGUAUUUUGUUCUCAUGAAUUUAUUUAAUAGCCUUUCCAGCAAUUUCAUCUGAUCAUCCACUGUUAGUUUUUUUUUUUUUUAAAAAAAAAAGCACUAGAUUUAUUUUUAGAAGUUCAGACUCUUAGGAAUGUGACAAUAUCACAUGAGUAGGCCAGUUACUGGAGAAAGAGCCAUACACACUGCAAAAUAUGGAAUAAUGAGGCUAGGAGCCUGUGCUGUCGCCAUUCAGUUUAACAUAGCUGGAAAUAUAAGAAAGUAAGCAAAUUAUUUGAUGAGUUAGCAGUGAACCUGGCUGUAACAAUUUUACAGAAGCAAGGGCAGCCAACAGCUUGUCAAUUUGAUGGAUGGCCCCCAAAGUUUUUUUAAAAAGGAAAUCACUCAAAUCUAUUGCUUUCAUAGGAUUUACCAGCGUGUAUCAGUUCUCAGCUGCUGGCCUGGGAACCACCAGUGGAAUGUAAAGCCUGUCUAUCAUCUGUAAACUGAAGUAUUUUCAAUAACCGUGCAAUUCAGCAGCAGAAGAGGAGUAAUUAAAUGUCUUAUAAAAUGCUGAAGAAAACAAUUAGCAAGCAGAAAAGUUGGAGAUCAAUGUAGAAGUAUCUUCUCAGUGGUCCCCGGACUAGGCAACAUGACAGUUAUCUCCCUAAUUUUCAUAAGUGAGGCUACCCUGACUGACUUCAGUUACAAACAUCCUUGCCUGUGCUGCUGCAUCCUGCUGUGCAGAACUCGCAGUGUGUGCACUCAUGGAGUUAGGGCUGUAUUGGACCAGAGAGAUUAUCGUGUUACAAAGGAGAAAUGAAAUAAAGAUCUUACCCACGUCCUGGGCUCACAGAAGGGCUCCAAGGGGAAGGAUCUCCAGCCCUUAAAUGGGGUCUAGGAGGGGUGCAGCAGGCUCCACCCCUUCUGGUCACUCAGGUGAAAUUGCAUUCACCUGUGCCCCUGCAGCUGACUCAACACUCGCCUCAGGUGGUCAAUCAGAGGUUCAGGGAUUCAACUGUUCCCAUACACCUAAACAGAAAUGAUUCUCUUAUCUCACAUGUGAGAAUAAAAUAUGAUACAAACUAUUCUGUGACUGAGGAAAGAUAUCUGAGUGGUGCAUAGUGAGUCAACACAUCACAAGUCCAUUUUUCCACGUCUGUAUGGGAAAGGAGGGAGGGAAAGUGAUGUUUUGAGUAGGAGGCUUCUUUCGGAUUUUUCUCUUCAUUUUAGGUGAAGUCAGUGUUCUGCAUUUGUUAAUGGCAAAAAUCAGUUCAGGAAAUGGUUCUAAUUUAAUGAAGCCUUUAUGUAAUUGAUUUUUUUCUUCUAGUAUAGAAUAUUGUUGCAAGAAUUCUUUCCUUAAACUUUUUAAUUAAGUAGAAAUAAUUACCAAUAUGUAGUCAUAUUUUUGAUAAAAUACUUGGUGUAUUCUUCCAUGUGACUUGAGUUCUAUAGAGUUCCCCUGUAAUGCUCGGAAUACAAAUAUUUCCAGAACACCAGUGAUUGCUUUUUAGUUCAGAUAACUUACUGUAAGGUGUUGGUUAAGAGGAGCAUAAGAACAAACAUAGGGGGGUCAGGCUGUGCAUCCAUUUACCUUAGCAACCUUCUUUAGAUCAUCAUGCUCACUCAGCAUCAGAUGCUUAGAGAAGAACAUGAGAACAGAGAAGCAUACAGUGAUUGGUCUUUACCACCUUAUUUGAUCUAACUUUCAGCAGACUCUUGAAUCAGUGGAAACAUAUGUAUAUAACAUGCUUUAGUAGAUUAUGCUUUUGUUGAUUCAUGUAGCAAGAAAUGUUUCUAGAGUCUAGUAAUACUCUAUUCUGUGUGGCUUGUACAGAUACUGUCAUUGUUUUGAAAAUUGCAUCUAUUAUUUGCUGCCCAACUGUACUGUUAGGAGAAAAAGCAAAUGAUGAUUUCCUAUGCCUCUUUUCCAUGUUUUCUGUGAUUUUAUAGACCUUCUGUUUCUUAUCAGCUGUCUGCUUCAGAGCAAAGGGCUCUUAAUCCCUGGCAGAUACUGAAAGAACUUCCUGCUUGCCUGUUCCUGUUUCCUUUGCUGUCAUAAAUGUUCAUACAGUCACACAAAGACAGACUGAGGAAACAAUCCAUGUAAAAAAUGCUGUUCCCCAUCUGUAUGUACUUCUGACAGUUCAGCUCAGCCAGCCCAUCCCACUGUGUGGUGCAUGGGCAUGUGAUGGCAGGAACAGGAAUAAACUGUGGAGACCUCCUUAGCUAUGUGGGCUUCAGCCCUGUCUGCUCUCUGAAAACUUCUUGGUGUUGUUCUCUCACCUGGUAUUAAG
ensembl:lncRNA